CGGUCGGCGGAAAAGCGCCCGCGCUGCUUCUUCCGCUUCCUUCCUCUUCCCGGUCCGCCGGGCUGCCGCGGGCCGAAACUCCCCGGCCAGGUCCUUCCUUUGGACCCUCCUUUUCAUUCAUUCUUUUACGUUUUCCAACCCUCGCUGAACGAUUUACAGAGCUGCUGUUUUCUUCCUAAUUUAAUUUGAAAUUUCAAUUAUUCUUGGGCUCACAUUCAUGAAUAUCAUCUAAGUUAGCAAGUAUAAACGUCGGUGUGUUCUGUUUUUAUGUGUUCUGUCUUCACAAGUCAGUCACAAUUACCCGGUGAAGAAAAAAACCAAUGGAGAUGUUAUGUACAUAAGCUUUUUAAGAGAGAGAGAGCACAAGCAAGGGGAGCGACAGGCAGAGGGAGAGGGAGAAGCAGGCUCCCAGCCCAGCAGAGAGCCCGACGUGGGGCUCGAUCCCAGGAUUCUGGGAUCACGACCUGAGCCGAAGGCAGCUGCUUAACCAACUGAGGCACCCAGGUGCUCCAGAAUCAGGAUUUAUAAGCAUAAUGUGCUUACAUGAGGAAUAAUCAUUCACAGCAGAUCUGAAUAAACCCUCUUAAUGUAACUUUCUAAAAUCCAGGUUUGAAACUCCUUUCGAUAUUUUACAAGAAUUUUCAUAUGAUGUUUAUAAUUAUUAUGUUUCAUAUUAUGUUAGAACACAAUACAGACACAUACCUCACCCCCUCCUUUUCCCUGCCAUCUUCUCUAUAUUCAGCUAGAAGUGCAAGCUUUGUUUUCUAAGCACUUUGAAAGGAAGUGAACAGAUCUGAGAAGUAAAACUGGAAUACAAAGUCAAAAGUGUGAAGAAGUCUUCCACUAGCCAGGACUUUGGCGGGGGGAGGGGGGUGGAGAGGGAGACCUGAAAAUCUUAAUGCUCUGUUUUUUUGUUUACUGCAGAACUGAAAUUCUCCUUUAUCUCACUUAGAGUAAUUAGUCUACAGAAGACCUUGUCUGCUUAUAAUUUUCAGGACUAAUGUGACCAUUUUGGACAACCUUUAGCAUGAUACAGUGGUUUUCAACCAGAGAUGAUUUUGCUCCCCAGGGGACAUUUAGCAAAGUCUGGAGACAUUUUUGUCACAGCUGGGGUUGGGGAGUGCUACUGCAUCUAGUGGGUGGAUGCUGCUAAACAUCCAACAAUUCAAGGGCAAAGACUUAUUGGCCCACAAUAUCAAUAGU